rnacentral:rRNA from 1 species
UACGGAGGGUGCAAGCGUUGUUCGGAUUCAUUGGGCGUAAAGGGUGCGUAGGCGGCGCGGUAAGUCGGGUGUGAAAUCUCGGGGCUUAACUCCGAAACUGCAUUCGAUACUGCUGUGCUUGAGGACUGGAGAGGAGACUGGAAUUUACGGUGUAGCGGUGAAAUGCGUAGAUAUCGUAAGGAAGACCAGUGGCGAAGGCGGGUCUCUGGACAGUUCCUGACGCUGAGGCACGAAGGUCAGGGGAGCAAACGGG